GACGAACGCUGGCGGCGUGCUUAACACAUGCAAGUCGAACGGAAAGGCCCUGCUUUUGUGGGGUGCUCGAGUGGCGAACGGGUGAGUAACACGUGAGUAACCUGCCCUUGUCUUUGGGAUAACUUCAGGAAACUGGGGCUAAUACCGGAUAGGAGCUCCUGCUGCAUGGUGGGGGAUGGUAAGUUUCGGCGGUUGGGGAUGGUCUCGCGGCUUAUCAGCUUGUUGGUGAGGUAGUGGCUUACCAAGGCUUUGACGGGUAGCCGGCCUGAGAGGGUGACCGGCCACAUUGGGACUGAGGUACGGCCCAGACUCCUACGGGAGGCAGCAGUGGGGAAUAUUGCACAAUGGGCGGAAGCCUGAUGCAGCAACGCCGCGUGCGGGAUAACGGCCUUCGGGUUGUAAACCGCUUUCGCCUGUGACGAAGCGUGAGUGACGGUAAUGGGUAAAAAAGCACCGGCUAACUACGUG
rnacentral:rRNA from 1 species